CUCUGGUCUCGAAUCAGGCAAGAUUACCCGCUGAACUUAAGCAUAUCAU
rnacentral:rRNA from 1 species